rnacentral:misc_RNA from 1 species
AAGUCGUAACAAGGUUUCCGUAGGUGAACCUGCGGAAGGAUCAUUAAAGAAUAUCGAGCUUCACAGCUCUUAUUCUCACCCUUUGUAUAUCAAACUUUGUUGCUUUGGCAGCGCCUUUAGCGCCCGCCAGAGGACCUCAAACCCUGAAUAUUCGUGUCGUCUGAGUACCAUAUAAUAGUUAAAA